rnacentral:lncRNA from 1 species
UGGCCGCGGAGGACCCCACGUGUUCCCAGAAGAGGCACAGACUCACCGCCUCACUGGGCCCAGCAGACGCACCGGACCUCGGAGCCCUGUGCCGGGGCAGAAGGGGCAAGCUGGAAGGGGAAGCCCCGAGGCCGGGUGUCCCCUCCCCCUCAGGAAGAAGCCGGACACGCCCCAUCCCCCCCACGCCGCCCCAUCCCCCACCCGCCCUGAGACUCCAGCCCCGGGCUAAGCCAGGUCGGGCGUUGGAGCGUCCUUUCCUCCUGCCUCUUCCCCGUGAUCCGUCAGGACCUCACCACCAGCAGGGCGCCAACUGGGACUAGCAGGCCCAUUUUGCAGCAUCCAGCCCGGAGCCCAGAUGGAGAAAAGACAACAGUGGACACCGUUCUGCCAGAGGAGGAGACCCUGCGAGGCGGGGAUCUGAGCCGGACCCCAGGAUAGGGGCCUUCCAGGCUGAGGAUUAAGCAUCUUUCCUUAGGCUAGGAACUGAUUGCUGCGCUCACCUGUGACCACCCAGCUCCAGACAAUAAACUUGCCUCCUGCCACGCCCUCCGAGAUAGCAGACCCACUACCUGUGGUGUCCAUCAAGCGCUGUUUGGGGGUAUAUAAUCACUCUGUGCACCCCACUUCUUCGGCGCCCUUUCUUCCUUCGGGAAGAAAGACCCCAGGCCAUGGUCCUCAUAAAGCUUUGUUUAAUUUUCUCUUGC